rnacentral:rRNA from 1 species
ACGAAGGGGGCUAGCGUUGUUCGGAAUCACUGGGCGUAAAGGGCGCGUAGGCGGCCGAUCAAGUCCGACGUGAAAUUCCCCGGCUCAACCGGGGGCCUGCGUCGGAUACUGUUCGGCUCGAGUCCCGGAGAGGGUAGUGGAAUUCCCAGUGUAGCGGUGAAAUGCGUAGAUACUGGGAGGAACACCAGUGGCGAAGGCGGCUACCUGGACCGGUUCUGACGCUGAGGCGCGAAAGCGUGGGUAGCAAACAGGA